UGAAGAAUAUUGCGCAAUGGGGGAAACCCUGACGCAGCAACGCCGCGUGAAGGAUGAAGGUUUUCGGAUUGUAAACUUCUUUUGUCGAGGACGAAAAAAAUGACGGUACUCGACGAAUAAGCCACGGCUAACUACGUGCCAGCAGCCGCGGUAAUACGAAGGGGGCGAGCGUUGUUCGGAAUUACUGGGCGUAAAGGGUGUGUAGGCGGUUUUGUAAGAUAGCGGUGAAAUGCCGGGGCUCAACCUCGGAAUAGCCGUUAUGACUAUGGGACUAGAAUUAUGGAGAGGAUAGUGGAAUACCCAGUGUAGAGGUGAAAUUCGUAGAUAUUGGGUAGAACACCAGUGGCGAAGGCGAUUAUCUGGCCAUACAUUGACGCUGAGGCACGAAAGCAUGGGGAUCAAACA
rnacentral:rRNA from 1 species